rnacentral:rRNA from 1 species
GACGAACGCUGGCGGCGUGCUUAACACAUGCAAGUCGAACGGAAAGGCCCUGCUUUUGUGGGGUUCUCGUGUGGCGAACGUGUGAGUAACACGUGAGUAACCUGCCCUUGACUUUGGGAUAACUUCAGGAAACUGGGGCUUAUCCCGGAUAGGAGCUCCUGCUGCCUGGUGGGGGUUGGAAAGUUUCGGCGGUUGGGGAUGGACUCGCGGCUUAUCAGCUUGUUGGUGGGGUAGUGGCUUACCAAGGCUUUGACGGGUAGCCGGCCUGAGAGGGUGACCGGCAACAUUGGGACUGAGAUACGGCCCAGACUCCUACGGGAGGCAGCAGUGGGGAAGAUUGCACAAUGGGCGGAAGACUGAUGCAGAAACGCCGCGUGCGGGAUGACGGCCUUCGGGUUGUAAACCGCUUUCGCCUGUGACGAAGCGUGAGUGACGGUAAUGGGUAAAGAAGCACCGGCUAACUACGUG